GAUCCUUGCUCAGGAUGAACGCUAGCGACAGGCUUAACACAUGCAAGUCGAGGGGCAGCACGGUGUAGCAAUACACUGGUGGCGACCGGCGCACGGGUGAGUAACACGUGUGCAACCAACCCCGUACCGGGAGAUAACCCGCGGAAACGUGGACUAACAUCCCAUAAGACUCUAGAGCCGCAUGGCUCUGGAUUUAAAAUUCCGGUGGUACGGGACGGGCACGCGCGACAUUAGGUAGUUGGCGGGGUAACGG
rnacentral:rRNA from 1 species